rnacentral:rRNA from 1 species
ACUACUCCAUACCAUGUUGAAUACACCGGUUCUCGUCCGAUCGCCGAAGUCAAGCAACAUCGGGCGUGGUCAGUACUUAGAUGGGUGCGAACUAGCCCUUGCUCUAAAGCUGGUGGUAGUC